rnacentral:tRNA from 1 species
UCCCCAGUGGCUCAGACGGUAAAGCGUCUGCCUACAAUGUGGGAGACCUGGGUUCAAUCCCUGGCUCAGGAA